rfam:Rhizobium tibeticum isolate CCBAT85039 genome assembly, contig: CCBAT85039_contig22
UUCAUGGGGUCGCGAUCACCCCACGAGGCGCCAGCCGAAGAGUCGCGUCCAACGAAGCCGCUAAAACGGAGGACGCGCGAUG